CGCAGCGUGUCGAGAAAGGCAGCUGAGAAAGAGGCCAGUUUAAUUCAGGCUAGUAUCAUCGGACUUCAACGGACGUCUCCAUCUUUGCUGGUUGCGGGGUUUUAAUUCAAGUCUUUUCUGCCCCGGUGCACAUGCAUGUAACUAAUCGAUUUGGAGUCAAUCUUGCCUUUCACUGAGGCUGAGGUAGGGGAUCUUGGGCUUCAAAAGGAGUCUCCAUGAAAUGGUCUGGUGGUAAUUGAAAGGUUUCUGGAAAUUGAGCAUGACGAAGAAAAACUGAGGAAAUCCAAGGCAUGAAGAGGAAGAGGCAGAAGAAACACCUAGACAUACCUGUAGGGUCCAUACAGUUGGAAUGCUGAGAUGCACAAAGAGCCCUUUUACAUACCUGUCCAGUGUCACAGUGACAGCAGUCUGAAGUUGCAUGCCCCCAGUUAUCUCUGUCCUUCUGUUGGCUACAUGGAUUGUUCUUAUUCCUAACUUUCUCUUGUAGCAGUCCCAUGCUCUUUCUCUGUUAAAUUAAAUACUACAUAAGUGCUGCUUCCAGCACCCAUGUGGAACUCAUCAAUUGUAUCACUGUGCUCUCCAAUUCACUUGGACAAUUUAUGGCUCUUCAGUCCCUUGUCUGGCAAUUUCUGUCUCCAUCUCAGGAGAUGAAUUGUCCAUUGACAAUACUAUUAACCUGCUGACUCCCACAGCUGUGGGAGUCUCUUCUCACCCAGUAUCUCGUAAGGAUGCCAUCCCUUUCUUGAAGUUUCUCUAUCUCCGUAACAACUGCACUCAAAGUGAGGACUUCUAUUCCAGGACAUUUGAAAUGUCCCCCUUUUUCAUGAAAUGGAGCUGACAGAAGUUCUCACAUAGUUCUUCCAUUUUCCAGACUCCUACUUUCACCGUGUCUCCCUGUGAGUAGAACGAAAAUGGACUUUCCCUACUCCUCGUCUCUGACUCUCCUAUUCUCUAUUUCUGCCAAUUGCAGCAACUAUCCAGACCUUUUCUCCCCCACCCCUUUCUAUCUUCCAAAGGGAUCAGUCUCUCCUAGACAUUCUCAUCUUCUCAACCCAACUCACCAAUCCUUGACCACUGGUACAUUUCUUUGUAACGGUUCGCAUAAGUCCUCACUUAUCACCAUCGGUCACCUAAAUAACCAUUCUAGGUGAUACAAAGAUUCACAUGUGCCUCCUCCAGCUUUCUCUACUGCAUUUAGGGCUCCCAAUCUGGCCCUCUACAUUGAUGAGACCCAAGCACAGAAUAGAUGACCGGUUUACAGGCAAUCUACAUACUGUCCACAAUGAACUCCCAGUUGCAUGCCAUUUCAAAUCCCCUUCCCUUUCCCACUACUGGUCACCAGACUUCUCCCUUGCCAGAGUGAGAUAUAAUGCAAAAUAGAAGAAUGUCGCCUCAUAUUCCAUCUGAAACUCUACAACUCAAUGGCAGGAACACAGCCUUACCUCCUGUGUUUUCUCUCUCUCUCUCUCUCUCCCACCCUCCUGAACAACCACCCAUCCUCUCAUUUUUAUCACCCAUCCCUCAUCUCUCCCCCCCCAACAUCUAUUACCCAUUUUCAAGCCCUUCCACUCUGCUUCCAUCCAACAAUCACCCACAUGUUUUGGUCCAGAUGGAGGGUCUUGUCAGAAAACUUUAACUGCCCAUUUUCUUCUACAGAUAUUACCUGACCUGCUGAAUAUCUUGUCUGUUGCUCCUGAUUCCAGCAUCUUCAGUCUCUUGUGUUUCCAGAGUUUUUUCGAAAGCUGGAGAAUUCAAUAUUGUUGGUUCGGUAUCAUACCAAAUAUUUCUUAGAAAAUAUUCCACUGAUGUCUAUAAGCUUAAGUAUUCAGCCAAUUUACAAAAUCAGUGGUAAAGUCUUGCUAUGAUAGAAUUGAGAUGCUAAAAUACUCGGGGUUCCUGGCUUAUGUAAGAAUUCGGUUCCAGAGAAUUUUCCAUAAAAUGAAUUUUCUGUAAGUCAGAAAUGAACAAUUCCCCCAAAGUCAUGAUAUGAAAUUUCAACUCAAGUCAAGUCAAACUGAGUUCAUUGUAAUAUGCACAAGUUUUGUUUGCAACAGCAUUACAAGCAUGUAGAAUCAGGCAAUACACAGAAAAUAAAUUAUAUAUUAUCCAUACAUAAAUUACACAAAGCAGUAAAAAAGAGACUGUGUAAAACAAGACCUGGAUGUAAAACAGCCUCAACAGCCCUUGAGGACAUCAGGAUUAAUAGACCCUUCCAACCCAACAAGCUUGUAUUGCCUAAUUGCACAGAUGUGACUGUUUAACCCACUAACCCAUAUGUCUUUGGAAUGUGGAAGGAAGCUGAAGCACCCAAAGAAAACCCAUACAGUCACGGGGAGAAUGCACAAACUUCUACAGUCAGUGGCAGAAUUAAACCCAGAUCGUUGGUGCUGUAAUAGCAUUCAUCUAACUACUUUGGUAGCAUGUUUCUACGGGUGAUCUCUGCUCCGUUUCCUGGUGAAGAGAUUUGACUCUGGUUUCUGAGGACUGAGUCUGGGUGAAUUUGUUACAUUUUUUAUAAAUCAGGGUUUUGUAAUCUUGCAUCAAAACAAAAAUUAUCAUUCAAGAGCUCCCUUCAAUCCACAUGUAAAUCACUUGAACUCGUAGUUGCAUUUAUUUCUUCCUCAUUCAGAUUUGUUAAACAAUCAGAUCACAUGAUGUAGCAACAUGAUGCUAGAUCACAUGAUGUAGCAACAUGAUGUACUUUCGGAAGUGAUCCAAUGAAUUCAUAUAGGAAAACAACAUUACUUGCGUAGCAAGCUGAGAAAUACCUUCCUGAAAAUUCAUCUGCCUUGAUUUUUCAGCGUUAAAAUUAUCUGCAUGAUCUUUAUAAAACUUGUAAGAAAACAAUGAAAUUGGUGAAUGUGUUUUCAUAAGCAGCAUGGAUUACUCAUUGAAUUCCUCACAUAUCCCCACUGCUCUAUCCUUGAUGUUCAGCACUUAAAGAGGCACAACAACACUGUAGCAGCAGCACUCUUACAUGUCUUGUUGAAAAGGGAUGACAACAUGCUGGAAUAAAGGGAGGAAUGGAAGAGUCCUCCUGCUGGGAUAAAAGUGUAGCGAAUCUACACAGAGGUGUCGUUGGAGAGCAGUGGGGAACAGUGUAAGAUGGAAGCAUCUUUCUCGUACAUGCACUGCUGGCAGGUUGCUGUCAGGGAGAUACCUGUGAGACAUGAGUGCCCUCUCUGAAUUCUUGCAAUGCACAUGGAGCAUUGAAUCCAAAUUACAUUGCAAACUAUAGCUUGCUACCGUAGGACAACUACAGAGUAAAGAAGUAAUUCUCAAUUGGCCAUUCACUCAUAUCCCUGAGUUCAAUUCCAUUGCCUUCAACACAGUGGGUGAUAUCAAUCACUGCCAAUCCAAUCAGCGUGUAAUCAAUUAUACACACAGAGGACCAAGGGCAAAUUUAGAGAUCUUUUCAAUGCAUGCCAAAAGAAUUUGAUAGUAUUUUGGAUUUUUGUUUAAAUUGCUAUACAUGCCUAUAGAAUGCUUGUGCCAAUCAAGUCAUAUUCCUCAAAAUCCUUUAAUUAUCUUUACGAAAGUUUUCGUCAAUAGGAAGAUAUUAUUUUUUAAUUUCCAGUUUUCUUAAGGCUUUAAAAUAAUUAGUCUCCGUAGAAAAUAAUUAAUGAAAUAGGGAGGUGUCAGGGUUAGCAUGUUUCAGCUUGUGACAAUUUUUUUUUUGCUGCCCUCUGUGAGUCUUUCUUUAAUCCUGUCACAUUGAUUUAUUGGGUAACCUGGUUGUCUGAUGGCUUUCAGUAAGAUAGGUGUGAAUUGACCACCCAGUAAUCUAUAGUUAUGAGUUUCAGGAAAUUUAAAACCAGAAUUGAGGGGAGCCCUUACAGUUUCAGUACCAGAGUAAAUAAGAGACCAGAAAGUUUCAACAUUGUGUAACAUUGAUUCAAGAAAUACUUGGCAAGAAAAUCAAACUAAAUAAUAGAGUGACAACUUUUUCAUCACAGCUACAGAAAUGUAGGCUUAUCUUGAGAUAUUUCAUUACUGUGCUUGAGUUUUUCAUUCCUUCACUCAUCCAUUUGCCAGACAGAAUUGAGAUUUUCAAAUCACAUGGUCUGGAUUUUUACCAUUUACCAUCCAUUGUACUUUUCAUUACUUCCUCUGCAGAGCUGAGGGAAGCAAUCUUCUACAAAACCUGCCCUUUUGUCUUACCUCAUAAAGUCACCUUAAGACCAUAAUAGGAGCAGGAGUGGGACCUGGCUGUACUACCUCAACACCAUUUUCCAUUCAACAAUACUCAGUCCCUCACCAUUUAAAACCAUUCUGAUUUGUGUACCAGUUAUAUUUGCCAUGUUUUAUCCACUCAAUUUAUUCAUAAUCCUUUUAUAUCCUCCUCUUCCCUACUCACUCUAAUCUAGAUUUGGAUCUUCAGCAAUUUUGAAAUAUGACAGUUGGUUCCCCUCAAGCCAAGUCAUUGACAUAAAUCUGAAUGACCUUGGCCCAAGCACUGACCUCAGACCAAAAUCAGAAACAUGGAUCCAGGACAAAAUCCCAUACACCAUAAACUGUACUUAUAUACCCUCAGUGGCCAAUUUAAUAGAUGCCUCUGCUCAUUAAGGAAAAUUAUAAAUUGUGGCAGCAAUUCAAUUCGUAAAAAUGUGCAGAGUUUCAGUUGUUGUUCAGAUCUACCAUCAGAAUAGGGAAGGAAUGGGAUCUAAAUGACUUUGACUGAGGAAUGAUUGUUGGUGCCGGAUGGGGUGGUUUGAAUAUCUCAGAAACUACUGAUCACCUGGGAUUUUCAUGCAUAACAGUCUCUGGAGUUCACAGAAAAUGUUGCAAAAGACAAAUCAAAACAAAAAUAAAUAAAGCAGUUUUGUGGGCAAAAACACUUUGUUAAUAAGAGAGGUUAGGGGAGAAUGACCAGAUUGGUUCAAGCUGACAGGAAGGCGACAAUAUCACAAACAACCACGUGUUGCAACACUGGUAUGCAGAAGAGUAUUUCUGAAUGCACAACACGUCAGAACUUGAAGUGGAUGGGCUACAGCAGCAGAAGACAACGGGCAUAUAUUCAGUGGCCACAGGGUGUAGGUUCAAAGAGUUUGGAACAUAUGAAGCAUAGAUGAGCUUUAGAACACAUUUGCUAUCUGUAUUUGGAAAGCAGGUUAUGUUGUGAGGGCAUUACAAUGAUCAAUGUCAAGGAAACUAGCAUGCUGACUAAGCUGUGAGAACACUGACUGUCAGUAUAACAUUUUGAGAGCUGGUAUCCAUUUCAGCACUGCUAUUUACCUUCACCUCAUAUACAAAAUGCUUAGGUUUCAGUUUUCACCUGAAGGUGAAUCCCAGAACGUGAGUGUACUAGAAUUACAUGUAAUAAGAUAGAUAACUUCUUCAAUAAUCUAUAUCAUUAUUCAGAAACAAAUAUUGGGAAUUGUUUUGAAUUAUUGCUUAUUGUUUGAGCUGUCAGUUUUCAGAGUUGGGGGGAUCAUAUCAACUUUUGUUAGUUUACUUGCUUGUUGUACAAAUACCUGACUGGAUAAUCGUUGUAAAGCAUCUCCAGAAAUGUUAACCACGCAAAAGCAUAUUAUUGCUUUCAAAUACAGUUUAAGCUGACACCAGAGACAGCAGAUGAUGGAAUCUGGAGAUAAAUUCAAGCUUCAGGAGGAACUCAUUGGGUCAGACAGCAUGUGUGGAAGGAAAUAGACAGUCCACUUAUCUCUACGUAUGCUGCUUGACCUUCAGUUUAAAAAAAAAUUAUUCUAUUGAGAUACAGUUAUUGAGAUAAAGGCCCUUCCAGGCCUUUAAGUCGCACCACCAAGCAACCUUAGCCCAAUCACGGGACAAUUUACAAUGACCAAUUAACCUACUAACCGGUACAUCUUUGGCCUGUGGGAGGAAACUGGAGCACCCAGAGGAAACCCGUGCGGUCACAGGGAGAGAACUGCUUGUAGACAGUGGUGGGAAAUGAUCCCAGGUUGCUGGCAUUGUGAACAGUUUUGCUAACCACUACGCUACCAUGCUGCCUCCGGCUUUUCAUACUGGGAAAAAUGGUUUAACUACAUAAUGCCUGAUAGGCCUGAUUUUAUUCUCACAAAUCAAUGAAUCUGUUGUAAAAAAAAAAUCACUCCCUACUUGUACAUAGUUCUUUCCUUUUGCUUGUUUUUUUCUUUCCACUCUUUUCUAUAAGUGUAUACCCCAGAUAAAUACUUUGUGGAGAUUUUGUGAUAUAUAUGAUUAUGUGAUGUAUAUGUACAAUGUCUGAAAUACAUCUUAUAGAAAUGUUUGUUUGAUGAACUUCAAUAAAAAAAUAAAU